UGUGAAGGUGUCCAUGCUGGGGAGAAAUCAGGGCUGGGACCCUCAUCACUUUCUGGCAUUUUAAAAUCUACAGAUCUUCUAUUUUGGGGAAGACAUGAGAAGCCCAGAGCUGAAGGAGGAGGAAGAGAUGGAGCCAGCAGAGGCCAUCCACAGCCCCGCCUCAAAUGGCCCAGUUGGCGGAGGCAGAAGCAGGGCCUCACUACUUUGCAAAUCAAGACCUUGUGGCCUGGUACCCACCACAAUAGCUGCAUGGGUACAGGAAACCUACUGUGGGACUGCAUCCCUGGCAGACUAGACAGGGCCCCCAGACACAUGGGUGGCAUACGCCUUGGUGACUACCUGCCUUAAGGACUGUGGAGGCCACAUUGCCAGUCAGUCUGUCCAUCCUGGACAAGGACAUGGUGCUACUCCCAGAGAAUUGAGUGACUGCAAUCGCAUUAUCUUACUAAGUGACAUGAACCACAGAAGUCACACAGUUUGUCACCAGUUGGUUGAGAGUCUCUGGAACUAUAGCAGGCAUCAUGACAUGAUGUGAAAUAAGCCUAUACCAGCUCAGAGCCGACCAGCGGCCCCUGCCAUUCUGCUGACAGACUGCUACCCUGUCCCUCCCAAUGGGCUUGUCUCUGCAGCCCCAUGCACCCUUCCCUUUCUGGAUCCUGCUGAUAUCAGAAUAACUUUCUGGUGACGGCUGUGAAACAGUUUAGCAGGACACACGUGGAUCACAAAGUUGACAAUGUGAACAUUACAAUCCUGUUGCAUAGCUCCCUUGUAAACUUUAGAGUUGGUAUAAACACAUGUUCAUAAAUCCUGGAUAUCCAUGUCCACUCUGAGUCACUGACUUCUGGAUUUUAAGUAGCAUUCAACCAAGAUGCAGGGUUGUUUCUUAAAUCAGCCCCAGGAAUGUUGCAGCUGACAUUAAAGAGUAGGAAGUGGUGGCCAUUUCCUAUCCAUAGACCCCAUGUCAUGCUGACAGAGGCUGGUGCAUAUCAAGUGCUCAGUAAAUCUGUGGUGAAUGGAUACCAACUGCCUGCAUGUGUUCAAAUGUGUCUUGUACAGAGAAGGUGGCAAUAAAACCAAUAGGGAACACCUUGAGGCUCCCCCACAGUCUUCACCCAGCCUGUAUUUCUAGUCCUUCCUAUACUGGAC
rnacentral:lncRNA from 1 species